GCUUUCCCCGCUUACUUCAGUGAAAUGAAUAAGAGGAUGAUUGUGGUACCCCUUCGCCCGGUCAGGGUUCUUUACGUCUCCGACUCCGUCAAUAAAAUACUUCCACUCGCAAUCUACCACCUUUGAUCGGACGGCAAGCCUGAAUGGACAAUUACACUUCUUUGACUUCGUAGUACGUUUCGGCGGAGUGGAACCCUCAGACUUGCGAGCUGGUCC
rnacentral:lncRNA from 1 species